rnacentral:rRNA from 1 species
UACAGAGGUCUCAAGCGUUGUUCGGAAUUACUGGGCGUAAAGGGCUCGUAGGCGGCCAACUAAGUCACACGUGAAAUCCCCAGGCUUAACCUGGGAACUGCGUGUGAUACUGGAUGGCUUGAAUCCGGGAGAGGGAUGCGGAAUUCCAGGUGUAGCGGUGAAAUGCGUAGAUAUCUGGAGGAACACCGGUGGCGAAGGCGGCAUCCUGGACCGGCAUUGACGCUGAACAGCGAAAGCCAGGGGAGCAAACGGG